rnacentral:snRNA from 1 species
AUCGCUUCUCGGCCUUUUGGCUAAGAUCAAGUGUAGUAUCUGUUCUUAUCAGUUUAAUAUCUGAUACGUCCCCUAUCUGGGGACCAUAUAUUAAAUGGAUUUUUGGAACAGGGAGAUGGAAGAAGAGCUUGCUCUGUCCACUCCACGCAUCGACCUGGUAUUGCAGCUACCUCCAGGACCGGUGCACCUCAU